CCGCCGCUCGCGCCCGCAGCCCGGCGCCCCGCGCGCACACCCGCAGCUGGCAGCGCGGGCCGAGGGGGCGCCGCGACCGUGCAGCCCCCCGGUUCUCGCCGGCCCUGAUUGAUUUGUCAGCCGCGGCGACAAAACCGCACCCCCCCCCACCCCGAUCCGCCCGCCCCGUCCCCGGCCGCCCGGGAGCCCGGGCCUCCCUCCCGGCUCGGCCGGCUGCGGGGGCCCCCGCGGCGCAGGCUGGAGCGCCCCGACACCGCCGCUCCUCAGCGAAGCCCCGCACCCCGCGGCCCCGGAGCCCCCCUCGGGCACGGUGCCCGCGCCCCCAGCCCUCACCCUGCCGCUCCCCGUCACCCCGGCCCCCCGCGCCCCGGCCCAGGGCCGCCAGCCGGACCGGCCACACCCCGCCGCAGAGGACGCGGAAAGGGUCCGCCUCUUGGCCUCUGUUUCUCCGCCAGAAAAGGGGGUCCCCUCCUGCUUUCCACCCCGCUGAGCAUCUGCCCUGCCGAAAUCGACGCUUUCCUCCUCUUCCUCACUCUCCCUGUUAGAAGGAGAUGCUCUCUCCUUCCUAGCAGCCUUCCUUGGCCGGGCGGGACUCCCCCGUUCUCAGUGACCGCCUCGCCCCACUGGAGUUGAAGAUGCCGAAUUGGACUAAGGGGUGGACCUUGUGCUUAUUGUAGGGGGGUAGCCGGGCCUCGCUCGGGCUCCAGCCCCGCGCAGCUGCCCAGCCUGAGCCCAGGUGGACAGGGCAGAAGUAGAGACCGCACCCCGGGGAGGGGGGAAAUAAAAAACAACACAAAGAGUUGGGGUCCGCUGAUACUGGUACCAGCCUUUUCCAAAGCGGCAGGUUCCCAGUUUCUGCGCUGAGGGACCACCCUCCCCCACUCCUUUAACUUUAAAGUAGUUUAAUGAACACAGAGAGAAAUCAUUUUUCCCCCCUUUUUUUUCUGCGUGGUGAGCAGUCUACAAAGAGAAAGGGGGGAAGGAGGGAGAGCUUUAAGUCUGAUCCCCGCAAUUAGUUCCCUGGGAUUGGGCGGCGAGGGGGCCAAUCCGGAGCCUCGGUUCUUCAGAUACAAAAGCAUUUAGGUCGCUUUAGACCGGUUAAUCCCGAGUCUGGCUCGGGUCUCUUUUGUUUCCCAACUCCAUUGUGGGUUUUGUGCAGUUUCUCUCUGUUCCCGUGAUUGACUAGCCAAUGGAUGGUAAUUAUCCAAAUGUCCCCUCUGUCCUUUGACUGACUUCUCUGUAUAAUGGGCAACUGUCAUGCAUUCUGUCAUUCCAUAUCAUAUUACACAUAUUAUCAUAGGAACUCCCCCCCCCCUAUAAAGGAGGGGAGCCUCAGUGUAAAUGCUGCUGCUUUGAGAAGGAAGGACCCCGAGUAAUUUGUCCUGGGCACAGUUUGGAAGACAGAGCAGGGGACCCCCGAAAUGGGAGGCUGUGCAGAGAGGCUGCAGAAAUCUGGGCGCCGGCUCGCUCGCUUGUCAAGAAGCAAACUGUCUUCACAUUCUCCAAAAGCAACAUCCCUGCCUAGGAAGAGGAAAGAAGAGGCAAAAUAAAUA